rnacentral:tRNA from 1 species
GGGAAUAUGGCUCAGUGUUAGAGUGCUUGCCUAGCAUGCAGGAAGCCUUGGGUUCAAUUCCUCAGUACCA